UACCUACGGGGGGCAGCAGUGGGGAAUAUUGCACAAUGGGCGGAAGCCUGAUGCAGCAACGCCGCGUGCGGGAUGAAGGCCUUCGGGUUGUAAACCGCUUUCAGUCGGGACGAAGUUGACGGUACCGACAGAAGAAGCACCGGCUAACUACGUGCCAGCAGCCGCGGUGAUACGUAGGGUGCGAGCGUUGUCCGGAUUUAUUGGGCGUAAAGAGCUCGUAGGUGGUUUGUUGCGUCGGAAGUGAAAACUUGGGGCUUAACCCUAAGCUUGCUUUCGAUACGGGCGGACUUGAGGGAGGUAGGGGAGAACGGAAUUCCUGGUGGAGCGGUGGAAUGCGCAGAUAUCAGGAGGAACACCGGUGGCGAAGGCGGUUCUCUGGACCUUUCCUGACGCUGAGGAGCGAAAGCGUGGGGAGCAAACAGGCUUAGAUACCCCUGUAGUCAC
rnacentral:rRNA from 1 species